CUCCUCGAAGAGGAUCAUUUCGCUUGCAUCCGCCGAAGAAUUUUUGUGACUUUUGCGUGACAUCGGUGUACGGCAGUGUCGAGAUCAAGAUCGCCAAGGUUAUCGCCAAGAUCCAGAUCGCCCUCGUUUUCUCCUCGAAGAGGAUCACCUCGCUUGCGUUGGCUGAAGAAUUUUUGUGACUUUUGCGUAACAUUGGUGUACGGCAGUGUCGAGAUCAAGAUCGCCAAGGUUAUCGCCAAGAUCCAGAUCGCCCUUAAUCUUGUCUCCUCGAAGAGGAUCACCUCGCUUGCGUUCGCCGAAGAAUUGUUGUGACUUUUGCGUGACAUCGGUGUACGGCAGAAAAUGGAUUCCGAAACAAUACUACUAGCCAUUUUCUGUUUUGUAAAUAAAUUUAAACGAAGUUACAGUAGUUUUCGUCGACAAGAAUUGCGACGUAAAAUAUUGUUAUUGUAUGCACUGUACGUAAUUGCGAUAGACGAAGAAUCUAAAAAAGAACGACAAUAUUGGGUGCGUCCUAUAUUUACCGUACAACGGCGAUUAUUACAAGGAGCGAGUGAUAAUCGCGUAAUUGAAAUGGAGACUGCAGACAAACAAAAAUUUGUCAAUUAUUUCCGAAUGGAUCCCAUCUUAUUUCAAGAACUACUCAAAUUAGUCGGCCCAUCGAUUGUGAAACAAUAUGUUGUUCGAGAGCCAAUUCCUCCUGAAACACGUCUGCAAAUUACACUUCGAUAUUUAGCAUCAGGAGACAGCAUGGCAUCGAUCUCAUAUGCCUAUCGAAUUGGCCAUAAUACUGCAUCAAAGAUAAUAUCAGAGACCUGCGGGGCAAUAUGGAAUGCUUUGAAGGAGACAUAUUUUACUGAUGACAGUCCAGAGAAUUGGCAGGAAAUUGCCAACGAAUUUCAGCGACUUUGGAACUAUCCAAACUGUAUAGGAUGUAUUGAUGGAAAGCACGUUACAU